AGGGCUGUAGCUUGGUGAUAGAGCUUCUGUUUUGCAUUCAGAAGGUCCUGAGUUCAAUUCCCAGCAUCCCAA